UGCCCGGUCGUCUAACGGUAGGACCAUAGACUCUGGAUCUAUGUAUCUUGGUUCGAAUCCAAGCUGGGCAG
rnacentral:tRNA from 1 species